AACGAACGCUGGCGGCAUGCCUAACACAUGCAAGUCGAACGAGACCUUCGGGUCUAGUGGCGCACGGUUGCUUAACGCGUGGGAACCUGCCCUUAGGUUCGGAAUAACUCCCCGAAAGGGGUGCUAAUACCGGAUAAUGUCUUCGGACCAAAGAUUUAUCGCCUUUGGAUGGUCCCGCGUUGGAUUAGCUAGUUGGUAUGGUAAAAGCCUACCAAGGCGACGAUCCAUAGCUGGUCUGAGAGGAUGAUCAGCCACACUGGGACUGAGACACGGCCCAGACUCCUACGGGAGGCAGCAGUGGGGAAUAUUCGACAAUGGGCGAGAGACUGAUCCAGCAAUGCCGUGUGAGUGAUGAAGGCCUUAGGGUUGUAAAGCUCUUUUACCCGGGAUGAUAAUGACAGUACCGGGAGAAUAAGCUCCGGCUAACUCCGUG
rnacentral:rRNA from 1 species